rnacentral:rRNA from 1 species
GAUGAACGCUGGCGGCGUGCCUAAUACAUGCAAGUCGAGCGAACAGACGAGGAGCUUGCUCCUCUGACGUUAGCGGCGGACGGGUGAGUAACACGUGGAUAACCUACCUAUAAGACUGGGAUAACUUCGGGAAACCGGAGCUAAUACCGGAUAAUAUAUUGAACCGCAUGGUUCAAUAGUGAAAGACGGUUUUGCGGUCACUUAUAGAUGGAUCCCGGCCGCAUUAGCUAGUUGGUAAGGUAACGGCUUACCAAGGCAACGAUGGGUAGCCGACCUGAGAGGGUGAUCGGCCACACUGGAACUGAGACACGGUCCAGACUCCUACGGGAGGCAGCAGUAGGGAAUCUUCCGCAAUGGGCGAGAGCCUGACGGAGCAACGCCGCGUGAGUGAUGAAGGUCUUCGGAUCGUAAAACUCUGUUAUUAGGGAAGAACAAAUGUGUAAGUAACUAUGCACGUCUUGACGGUACCUAAUCAGAAAGCCACGGCUAACUACGUG